rnacentral:rRNA from 1 species
GACGGAGGAUGCAAGCGUUAUCCGGAUUCACUGGGUUUAAAGGGUGCGUAGGCGGAUAAGUAAGUCAGUGGUGAAAUCUCCGAGCUUAACUCGGAAACUGCCGUUGAUACUAUUUGUCUUGAAUAUUGUGGAGGUAAGCGGAAUAUGUCAUGUAGCGGUGAAAUGCUUAGAUACGACAUAGAACACCAAUUGCGAAGGCAGCUUACUACGCAAUCAUUGACGCUGAGGCACGAAAGCGUGGGGAUCAAACAG